UUGAAAGGGAAACGAUUGAAGUCAGUCGUACCGACGAGAAAUCAACUUAUCGUGUGCGAACUUGUGGGCGUGCGUGAGUUUCGGCCUCGCUGUUUGCAUGUUUGUGCGCUUUGGGUGUACUUUUUCGUAUGGUAGGCCAACGUCAGUUUCGAUUAUCAUAAAAUGACCGGCGGAAUGUAGCUUCGACUUCGGUUGAAGUGUUAUAGCCUCUGGUAGAUGUGGUGAUUGGGACUGAGGAUUGCAACGAAUACCCUUUGGGCUAUCCGUCUGGCCUCUGAAAGUUGCUCAGGUGCCGAAAGCGUGCUUACGGUCAUCUGAGAUAACGUUCAACAGGUUAGAACGUGAUUACAUUCGUUAAGGAUGUUGACGUA
rnacentral:rRNA from 1 species